UACAGAGGGUGCGAGCGUUAAUCGGAAUUACUGGGCGUAAAGCGUGCGCAGGCGGUUGUGCAAGACCGAUGUGAAAUCCCCGGGCUUAACCUGGGAAUGGCAUUGGUGACUGCACGGCUAGAGUGUGUCAGAGGGGGGUAGAAUUCCACGUGUAGCAGUGAAAUGCGUAGAGAUGUGGAGGAAUACCGAUGGCGAAGGCAGCCCCCUGGGAUAACACUGACGCUCAUGCACGAAAGCGUGGGGAGCAAACAGG
rnacentral:rRNA from 1 species